GGUAGAAUCAGUGACUGCAUGGCUCAGAGAGAGGCUGCGGAGCCAGGCAAGCCUCGGUUCAGACUUGGCUGCUCAUGAACAGUGUGACCUUGGCAAAUUAUGGGGUUUCUUAAAGCCUGUUUCUUCAUUUAUAAGUUACCCUGUGACACCAACCAGAAAUUGGAAACUUCUUUUGUCUUGGAAGCUGCAGACUUUCUUUAAGAACGAUUAAUGAGAAAUGGUGCACAGAUCAGGAGCAUGAACUGUUCUCUCAUGUUGAAUGUGGCAGUUUUCACAUACAAGCAGGAGAGAAAUUACACCAAGAUUUUGGAAAACAUGUUAUGUAAGGUUAUUGUGACCUCUAUGAUGGGGAUCUGAUAAAGAAGAAAAACACCUCACAGCGAUGACUGGCAUGUGAUCACUUAGCCAAUGAGAUAAGAGGCUGUAGAAAUGAUGUGAUAAUGACGUCUCCUGAGUUCCAGGUCCAUAUUAGCAGUGGAUAUGAGAUUUAAGGAAUCCUGUUCCUCUUUUCUCUUAAGCUAUCCGUAACUUACAGCAAUUUGAAAUUUUCCUCAUUAAAUGCCUGAAUGCUUGCACCAUACAGCAAAUAUCCACUGCUAUUAGGUCCCAACAGGUGACUCAGCUGGCUGUUAAUGAACAGUUUGGUCAAAGGUAUUCAGUAUCCUGCUAAUUGUAAUCCGAUCUCCCCUGGAGAGAAAAUGAAGCUGCUCACCUUCAUGAUUUUGUCUGGAAUCUGGAUGAUCUUUUGCCUGGACAAUGGUCAACACGCAAUUUGGCUUUGAAGAGUCGGGCCCACAAUCUCAAUUGUGAUACAGAGAAGAGCCCACAUUUCUACUCAGAUUUUUGCUAUAAAGAUAGACUUCGUAUCUAAAAUAAUAAAGAAUUAAUUGAUACCUCACAGUCUUUUCAUAAUAGUGAUCUCAUGUGGAAUACAGAGGGACUCCUUCAACAGCUCACAGGAAAACAGCUGUGUGAUUCACAGGAAGAUGAGACCAUCUAGUUGCAGGAAAACAAGCUCAGAACUCCCACUGAUUCUACAUUACGAAUUUUCUCAAGAAAAGUCAGGAGGCAACUGCAUGUAUUACUACAGUAAGAAUUAAAGAAAGAGGAAAGAAACAUGAAAGGUGGCUUGCCAGUCAAGACAGGUUUAUUUUGGAGAAAACAAACCUGAGAGGAGCUUCUUGCCAAGGUAGGUCAGAGGCACACUC